GAUGAACGCUGGCGGCGUGCCUAAUACAUGCAAGUCGAGCGAACAGACGAGGAGCUUGCUCCUCUGACGUUAGCGGCGGACGGGUGAGUAACACGUGGAUAACCUACCUAUAAGACUGGGAUAACUUCGGGAAACCGGAGCUAAUACCGGAUAAUAUAUUGAACCGCAUGGUUCAAUAGUGAAAGACGGUUUUGCUGUCACUUAUAGAUGGAUCCGCGCCGCAUUAGCUAGUUGGUAAGGUAACGGCUUACCAAGGCAACGAUGCGUAGCCGACCUGAGAGGGUGAUCGGCCACACUGGAAAUGAGAAACGGUCCAGACUCCUACGGGAGGCAGCAGUAGGGAAUCUUCCGCAAUGGGCGAAAGCCUGACGGAGCAAAGCCGCGUGAGUGAUGAAGGUCUUCGGAUCGUAAAACUCUGUUAUUAGGGAAGAACAAAUGUGUAAGUAACUAUGCACGGCUUGACGGUACCUAAUCAGAAAGCCACGGCUAACUACGUG
rnacentral:rRNA from 1 species